AUAUGGCUUGUGGACAGCAGAAGAGUCAGUCUCAGCAGAACAAUGCCAAAAAGCAAGAUGGACAAAAGAAGAAACAAGAACGUGACCAAAAGUCCGUUGCCAAAGCUGCCUUAAUAUAUACCUACCCUGUCUGUGGGACACAAAUGCCAGACCCUGACCCCUUCAAGCAGCACUUUGAGAGCAAUCAUCCUGACUCUACUUCCUCCAGAAUUGACUGAAGUUCAGGCAUAAAGUUGUAGGCGAAUUCAUGACACCUUUGACUCUUCUACUGUCUCAGACUUCAGGAAACAAACCUGCAGCUGCUUUUCUAACAAACUUGAUCAGCAAAGAUAAAAGGACCGAAACAUUCGCUGUUAUGCUGUUCCCUUUUGAGCUUCAUGCAAAGACAAUUCUGUGUAAAUACAUAGUUGAUUCUGAUUU